rnacentral:misc_RNA from 1 species
GAGAUCGUUGAGGACCUGCUGCAGCCAAAAUUGUGCACGUCACAGCAGCUGCCAGAGCUUGCUCUAAGGCAGCUUCAUCGAUUUCUUCGUCACCAAUUUGUCGCUUCUCAAUCUGAGAAAUGUCAUAGUAACGCAAGGCAGCUUCCAAGAAUUUUCUCUUCAAAUCCAAAAUCCUAGCAUAGCAAACCUUGUACUGCAAAUUCAAUACUUCAUUCUUAAUGUUGUUAACUUUAAAGGAAGCUUUAUUUAUAAACGCUUCUGCAUUAACUGCAUCAUCAUCCUCCAGAUAGAGACGAGCAAUUUGGACACAUUUUGAAAUUCUGAAUGUAUCAUCAACGAAUCUCAUUGCAGAGUCUAAAUCGAUGCCACUAAGCAUCUGAGCUGCUUUUGACCAUUGUUG